rnacentral:rRNA from 1 species
GACGAACGCUGGCGGCGUGCCUAAUACAUGCAAGUUGAGCGAUGAAGAUUGGUGCUUGCACCAAUUUGAAGAGCAGCGAACGGGUGAGUAACGCGUGGGGAAUCUGCCUUUGAGCGGGGGACAACAUUUGGAAACGAAUGCUAAUACCGCAUAACAACUUUAAACAUAAGUUUUAAGUUUGAAAGAUGCAAUUGCAUCACUCAAAGAUGAUCCCGCGUUGUAUUAGUUAGUUGGUGAGGUAAAGGCUCACCAAGGCGAUGAUACAUAGCCGACCUGAGAGGGUGAUCGGCCACAUUGGGACUGAGACACGGCCCAAACUCCUACGGGAGGCAGCAGUAGGGAAUCUUCGGCAAUGGACGAAAGUCUGACCGAGCAACGCCGCGUGAGUGAAGAAGGUUUUCGGAUCGUAAAACUCUGUUGGUAGAGAAGAACGUUGGUGAGAGUGGAAAGCUCAUCAAGUGACGGUAACUACCCAGAAAGGGACGGCUAACUACGUG